rnacentral:lncRNA from 1 species
UGGUACUCCACAUUUCUGGUAGCCUUAGUUCUAACCAUAUUUGGGGUUGAUUCUUUAAGCAACAAAAGAUUAUCCGGUGUGAUUUCUUUGGAGCUUUCUUCUUUGCAACCUGAAAUAAUCUCAACAUUCUCGACAAAAACCAAGUGAAUUAUAUCUGUGUUUGGACACUGAUAAACAGAAUGUGAAAGUUCCAGACUUACUUUGAUAGCUUCCACAAGUUGAAAAAUGAUUUUCUUCUUUGGACAUCUUGUGUUGCUUAGCUGCCUUUCUUGCAACUUUUGAUCUCGGUUUGGAUG